AUUCAGCCCUACUCCGUCUGGACGUGGGGUUUCUGAGGUGAGGCCGUUAAGUGAUGCUGAGGAGGUAAUGGGGAGCGAAUUGAAUUACAGCCCCACCAGCCAGACGUAAGAGUCGCGGCGCUGGGCCUGGCCGGGUCGUGGCGGCUGGGCUAGAGGUAAAGGAUGCAUUCCAAGAAAGUUCCGUAAAAAUAUAUCAUCAGCUCCAACCAUUGGGUGCUCAGCAGAUCAGACCAUAACUGGCACUUUUAAAAUCUGUUGCCAUCAAAAAGUAUCAAGAAUGAAAAUAGACUUGCUUACUUUCCAAGAAUAAUAUCUGUCUGGAGGGGAAGAUGAGCAGAAAUGCCUGCAGCCUCAUAAAAGGAUAGAGUCUCUUAAAAUUUGGGGCUCUUUUGUGGUGCAACCCACUGCAUGCAGAGGUAACACCUGGCCCUUAUAUCACACUGUGGGAAUUGGAGCAUGGGAAGCUGACAUACGAUGCUGCUCUGGCUGCUGUUUUUGCUGUAAUAAAUUGUGUCUAUGAACCUGAA